rnacentral:lncRNA from 13 species
AGGAAAGUCAUCUACUUGCACAGCUUUGAUUAUAAUUCAAACAGAAAUGACUCCCACGCUUAUCUCUCCAACUCAAAUCUCUCAUUUGAAUUCCAAAGGCAUUUUUUAACCACCAAAUCUACAGCUCCACAUAAAAAUCUCACAGACAGAUCAAACUUUGCAUGUCAAAAAUGAACCCGUGCUCAACCCACCACUUACUUGAUCUGUUGGAUUUUGUGUCUCAGUAAAUGGCAUCAUCAUCUGGAAGAAACCUGGAAGUCAACCACGACUCUGCUCCAUCCCUAAACACUCACUUAAUCAAGUCCUGUUGAGUCUACUACAAAAAAAUAUAUUUUAAAACCUUUACAUGGUUCCUUUCCACUACCCAUCAUCUCACUUCCUUUCAAUAAUCCCCUGUUUGGGGUUAAACUAUAUCCCUAAGAAAGAUAUAUUGCAGUCCUAAUCCACAAUGCCUAUGAAUAUGACCUUACUUAGAUAUAGAAUAUUUGCAGAUGUAAUCAGUUAAGAUGAGGUCAUCAGGGUGGGCUCUAUUCCAUUGUGACUGGGGUCUUUGUGGGAAGAGGAGAAGAGGCACUGAAGCAGACAUACAGGGAGAAGGUAAGGUGAAGACAUACAGGAAGAGCACCAUAAUGACAGCGUGAUGUGUCCAACAAGCAAGGAGUUUCAAGAAUUGAAAUCAACAUUGGAAGCUAAGAAAAGGACAUUGAACAGCUUUUUUCCUAAAGCCUUUAGAGAGAGCAUGACCUGCUGCAACCCCCAUCUUGAAAUGAGAAGUAAAAGUUGAAAAUAGAAGAAACAAGGUCCGUGGAGGAGACAAAGCCGGUGCCACUAGCUGGACCUGGAGGUUGAAGAUGAAAUCCCCCACCCUAGUUCCUAAAUCACAGGCAUGGUAUGGAGGAAUCUUCCCGGAAGACGUUGUUCUUGCUUCAUCACGAUUACACCGCACCUAAAUCACCUACACCUGGCUUACCUCAUCGAUCACGACCCUCUCACAUGUACCCUCUAAGAUUGUGAGCCUUUAAAAGAGGCCAGGAUUUUCUAGUCAGGGAACUCGGUUCUUGAGACGCAAGUCUGCUGAGACUCCCUGCCGAAUAAAAAACCACUUCCUUCGCA